UCAGUCACAAUUGACCACGUAAUGUAUGAUUCCACUUAUAUGAAACAUUCAGUAUAGGAAAGUCUAUAGAGACAGAAAGUAGAUUAGUGAUUGUCUAGGGCUGGACAACAUGGGAGGAUUGGAGGGUGAUGACUAAGGAGAGUGAGGUUUCUUGUUUAGACUAAUGAAAAUAUAAAAUUGAUUGUGGUGAAUAAAAUUGAUUGUGGCCAUGAAUUGUUGCACAGUUCUGUGAAUAUAUUAAAAACCAUUACAUCGUAUACUUUAAGUGGGUGAAUUGUAUGGUAUGUGAAAUAGAUCUCAACAAAACUGUUUUGAAAAGAUGGUCCUC